GGAGGGUAUAGCUCAGUGGUAGAGCACCUGCUUAGCAUGCAGGAGGUCCUGGGUUCAAUCCCCAGUUCCUCCA
rnacentral:tRNA from 1 species